GAUGAAGAACGCAGCGAAAUGCGAUACUAGGUGUGAAUUGCAGAAUCCCGUGAACCAUCGAGUCUUUGAACGCAAGUUGCGCCCGAAGCCAUUAGGCCGAGGGCACGCCUGCCUGGGCGUCACACGUCGUUGCCCCCCCAUCUACUCCUUCGGGAUUGCGGGGGGCGGAUGAUGGCCUCCCGUGCGCCUCGUCUCGCGGUUGGCAUAAAUGCCAAGUCCUCGGCGACGCACGCCACGACAAUCGGUGGUUGCGAAACCUCGGUUGCCCGUCGUGUGCGGUCGUCGCGCAUCGAGGGCUCGAAAAAAUUGCCGGGCUCCGGCUCGGCUUUCAACGCGACCCCAGGUCAGGCGGGGUUACCCGCUGAAUUUAAGCAUAUCAAUAAGCGGAGGA
rnacentral:misc_RNA from 1 species